rnacentral:lncRNA from 1 species
UGGCAACCAUCUCAACCAAAUGUCUUCAGUUCCAUCAUUAUUAGCCAAGUAGGCUGUCAAGAAUUGAGAUAUAUGGUAAUCGAGAUCAGAGCCCAGCCAACUAUUAAAAGUAGGUAAUAGUGCCAUACUUGUAGUUCAGUCUCUUACUGCUGCCAUUUGUACUGCAUUUGGUACUUCUGGCACUCCCGCAGCCAUUGGUGUUAUCACUGGUCUCCUUACUAUUUGAAUAUGAAUUUUUCUUUCUUUAGUUUUUCUUGGACCUGUAAUUCCUUUUUGUCGUUCUCGUAGGAUAUUUCUUAUGCGUAAUCGCUCCUGUCUUUCUUUCACUUGUCGAUUAAUUCUUUGAUAAUCCUCCCUUUUAUGAUUAUUACUCAUAAUCUUUCAUUCUUUUCC